rnacentral:rRNA from 1 species
UACGUAGGGGGCGAGCGUUGUCCGGAGUUACUGGGCGUAAAGCGUGCGCAGGCGGUUAUGCAAGACAGAUGUGAAAUCCCCGGGCUCAACCUGGGAACUGCAUUUGUGACUGCAUGGCUAGAGUACGGUAGAGGGGGAUGGAAUUCCGCGUGUAGCAGUGAAAUGCGUAGAUAUGCGGAGGAACACCGAUGGCGAAGGCAAUCCCCUGGACCUGUACUGACGCUCAUGCACGAAAGCGUGGGGAGCAAACAGG